UCAAGUCAUCCAUCGCCCUUAUGCCUUGGGCUGCAAACAUGCUACAAUGGCCGGUACAGAGGGCUGCUAGACCGUGAGGUGGAGCGAAUCCCUAAAAGCCGGUCUCAGUUCGGAUUGGGGUCUGCAACUCGACCCCAUGAAGUCGGAGUCGCUAGUAAUCGCAGAUCAGCAAUGCUGCGGUGAAUACGUUCCCGGGCCUU
rnacentral:rRNA from 1 species